GCCACUGCUUCAACAUCUGUCUUGGGAUAUCCAGUUCAAAAUGGCGAGUCCCAGUAAAAUACCAAGAAGUGACAGUGAGACGGUUGUCGGCUAUCUGCAUAGUGUGUCGCCUAUGAAAAUGUCCAAGAACAGCAGGCGAUAUUUUGAGGCCACCUUGCAGACGGGAAGGGAGGCAUACAAUCGUGUCGUCUGCUUCUCCCCCGAGAAGCGGGACCAGUUCGUUCACGCGGCAGAAAACAGGCAGGCGGUGAAAUUGUUUGCCACGCGGAAAAGCAUCAGCUACAGCAGUCCAGGGGGCUUCGACGUGCUCGUGUCGAGCUACAGCAGGCUUGACGCGUUUGGGGACCUUCCCUUCACCCAUAGGGCACCGAGCAGCACCUCUGACCGGCUGACCGUGGUCGAUGUUUUGGGUUUGGGUCCCAGGCAGAGGGUGGGAGUCAUCAACCUCAAGGUACUUCAGCUCCUGGACAAUAGGGUGGUGGAGAUCCAAGGAGCGUCCAUGGAGCUGAAAUGCUUUGAGGUUUGUGACUCCACCGGACAGACGGCGUUGAGCGUGUGGGAUCGGCUGAUCUCCACCGUCCAGCUCGGCCAAUGCUACACCUUCUGUUCGCUGACGACAAGGAAGGAUGGGGGCCGCACUGUUUUAACCACUACCCCAUCCACACUGGUCACCGCCACCACGGGUGUAGGGCAGCCUUCUUGCCUUAGGCAGGUGACUGUCGCGGACGUGGAGAUUCUGUGCGG
ensembl:lncRNA